rnacentral:rRNA from 1 species
AGAGUUUGAUCCUGGCUCAGGACGAACGCUGGCGGCGUGCCUAACACAUGCAAGUCGAACGGGGAUUUUGUUUCGGCAGAAUCCUAGUGGCGAACGGGUGAGUAACGCGUAGGCAACCUGCCCUCCGGCCGGGGACAACACUCCGAAAGGGGUGCUAAUACCGGAUACGAAGUCUGUGCCGCAUGGUACGGAUUUGAAAGAUGGCCUCUAUUUAUAAGCUAUCGCCGGGGGAUGGGCCUGCGUCCGAUUAGCUGGUUGGUGGGGUAACGGCCUACCAAGGCGACGAUCGGUAGCCGGUCUGAGAGGAUGAACGGCCACAUUGGGACUGAGACACGGCCCAGACUCCUACGGGAGGCAGCAGUGGGGAAUCUUCCGCAAUGGGCGCAAGCCUGACGGAGCAACGCCGCGUGAGUGAGGAAGUUCUUCGGAACGUAAAGCUCUGUUGUUCCUGACGAACCUCCCUUCUAUCAACAACGGAGGGGACUGACGGUAGGGAACGAGGAAGCCACGGCUAACUACGUGCCAGCAGCCGCGGUAAUACGUAGGUGGCAAGCGUUGUCCGGAAUUAUUGGGCGUAAAGCGCAUGUAGGCGGUAAUUUAAGUCUGUCGUGAAACUGCGGGGCUCAGCCCCGUAUGGCGAUGGAAACUGGGUUACUUGAGUGCAGGAGAGGAAAGGGGAACUCCCAGUGUAGCGGUGAAAUGCGUAGAUAUUGGGAAGAACACCGGGUGGCGAAGSSSCYUYUCUGGACUGUGUCUGACGCUGAGAUGCGAAAGCCAGGGUAGCGAACGGGAUUAGAUACCCCGGUAGUCCUGGCCCKAAACGAUGGGUACUAGGUGUGGGAGGUAUCGACCCCUUCCGUGCCGGAGUUAACGCAAUAAGUACCCCGCCUGGGGAGUACGGCCGCAAGGCUUAAACUCAAAGGAAUUGACGGGGGCCCGCACAAGCGGAGGAACAUGUGGUUUAAUUCGAUGAUACGCGAGGAACCUUACCCGGGCUUGAACUGCAGCAGAACGAUUGAGAGAUCAUGAGGUCCUUCGGGACUGCUGUGGAGGUGCUGCAUGGUUGUCGUCAGCUCGUGCCGUGAGGUGUCGGCUUAAGUGCCAUAACGAGCGCAACCCCUCUCUUCAGUUGCCAUCACUUCGGGUGGGCACUCUGGAGACACUGCCACCGUAAGGUGUGAGGAAGGUGGGGAUGACGUCAAAUCAGCACGGCCCUUACGUCCGGGGCUACACACGUGUUACAAUGGGUGGUACAGAGCGUCGGCCGCCGGCAACGUCGGUCCAAUCGUGAAAUCCAUCCUCAGUUCGGACUGGGGUCUGCAACCCGACCCCACGAAGCUGGAUUCGCUAGUAAUCGCGCAUCAGCCAUGGCGCGGUGAAUACGUUCCCGGGCCUUGUACACACCGCCCGUCAAGCCAUGAAAGCCGGGGGCGCCUGAAGUCCGUGACCGCGAGGGUCGGCCUAGGGUGAAACCGGUGAUUGGGGCUAAGUCGUAACAAGGUAGCCGUA